rnacentral:rRNA from 1 species
AUUGAACGCUGGCGGCAGGCCUAACACAUGCAAGUCGAGCGGCAGCGGAAAGUAGCUUGCUACUUUGCCGGCGAGCGGCGGACGGGUGAGUAAUGUCUGGGAAACUGCCUGAUGGAGGGGGAUAACUACUGGAAACGGUAGCUAAUACCGCAUAACGUCGCAAGACCAAAGAGGGGGACCUUCGGGCCUCUUGCCAUCAGAUGUGCCCAGAUGGGAUUAGCUAGUAGGUGGGGUAACGGCUCACCUAGGCGACGAUCCCUAGCUGGUCUGAGAGGAUGACCAGCCACACAGGAACUGAGACACGGUCCGGACUCCUACGGGAGGCAGCAGUGGGGAAUAUUGCACAAUGGGCGCAAGCCUGAUGCAGCCAUGCCGCGUGUAUGAAGAAGGCCUUCGGGUUGUAAAGUACUUUCAGCGGGGAGGAAGGUGUUGAGGUUAAUAACCUCAGCAAUUGACGUUACCCGCAGAAGAAGCACCGGCUAACUCCGUGCCAGCCGCCGCCGUAACAC